CUGGUUAAGAGAGACAUGUAAGGGCUGGAUGUAAACUCCCAUAGGGCACCUCAUGGGCUAGAGAAGAUGCAGCAUGAGCUCAGGAAUUCAACACAACAUGAAAUAAUCGACAAAUUCGGGGAAUGUUAAUCUGACCAUUCCCAGUUACAAAUGAUGUUUCAUGCUACCUUCUAUUCCUGCCUUCAUAAAUCAAGGUAAUUACUUGGCAAUCUGGCUAUGCCUUGUAAGGCAAAAGAGCUGUUCAUUUCUUGUGUCAAAUGGUGAACAGGGAGGGAGAGGAAAAUGGUAAAUAACCCUGCCACCCACCUGUGCCCAAUCAGCUCUAAAUCUCCAGGAAAAAAUGCGCUAAGAUCGCCAGUGAAAUGUCCUUCCAACUGUGGAUGGAAAGGUAUGAUUUUGUGCAGCAGAUAAGGGACUGGCUAGAGUAAGUGUGUGCUGAGCUUUUGUGUUUGAAAGCGAGCCUGUGCACUUCUAACGACUGGAAGGUUUCCUUGCCUUCUCCGAUCUUACACACAGCAAGGACAGCAAAGCCUUCCAGACCUGCCUGUGACAUGCACUGCACAUUCUAAAGAUGCCUGUGCAAUGGAAAACACCACUGUCUCCUCCAGCACAGCUGCCAUUCUUCCAUCUUAUCGACCUUAAUGCAACAACUCCACACAGGCAGAGAUUUUAAAAUGUGUUCUUGGCAGAAGAGAGACUCAAAGAUGGGACAAAUGGGUCAUUUAAAUGCCUGUUAAAAUGGAACGGACAUAGUAUAGUCAGAGGAUUGUGGCAGCUAAGAACAUAGUCUCUGGAGCAAAUCUGCAUGGGUGGCAACCCCAAGCACUUGAGGUCCUAGUUGUAUGAACUUAGGAAAAGAAAAAGAGAACAUAUAUCCCCCUACCUUUUGAUUUCCAACAGUCUACUGAGAGGCCAACAUUAUUUGCAGGGAAAGAAAAGGGGAAUGCCAUCCCCACCCUCUCGCAGCUACA
rnacentral:sRNA from 1 species